CAGUGUCAUUUUCAGUGAGUAUGGUAUGUUUAUCCUUUAGCUUGUUGCCCAUAAAUUAUUGUCUUAUAAGCUUCAAGUAGGUUGGUCUAGAUAUGUUAGAAGCUCUUUUAUAUUUGUAUUAAGCUACUUUCUAUUUGGUGUUUAUCUUCUGUUAGCUUUUUAAUUUCUAUCACUCCCUGGUUCCCUGGCUUUCCUUUCUUCUUCUAUGUCAACCAAGAUGUCUGGAGCUCUUUUAUUAUCUGUUUAAUUUACCAAAUAUGUUAACCUCCAGUUCCACAUUCACCAGGCAAUUAUUAGCAUACUUAGGUUGAAGGUGCUGGCAGUUCACUAGUUUCUAGUUGAAUAUAUGCGUUCCUUUCCUGUUAAGCUUUAAUUACUUUUUUGUCUAAUUUGCUGUGCAAACUAAUUCUACAUUCAAUUACUUGUCAAGCUCAAAUCUUGAUAUUGUUUGACUUAUCCAGGAAUUGUUGGAGACGAGAAAAAGCAGGAGGAAAAUCAGGAAGAGGAUGAAGAUAAUCAGG
rnacentral:misc_RNA from 1 species